rnacentral:rRNA from 1 species
AUUCGNCAGAGGAGAAAUCCUUUGGAUUUAUUGAAGACUAACUACUGCGAAAGCAUUUGCCAAGGAUGUUUUCAUUAACCAAGAACGAAAGUUAGGGGAUCGAAGACGAUCAGAUACCGUCGUAGUCUUAACCAUAAACUAUGCCGACUAGGGAUCGGAUGAUGUUAAUUUUUUAAUGACUCA